GCUCUCCUGUCUUGGCAUGUUCCUCCCUCUUUUGUGAGCUCUGGCUUCUGGAGGCUGCACAGGGGAUCAGGAGCACCCAGAAGAGCCAUUUCUGCCAUUCCCUCUCCUCUCUGCUACCCAGGCAUGCCUGACAGCUCUUCAAUGCUUGCAUAAGAGGAUUUCCCCAGAUGAGACCGCGUAGUGUACAGACAGGAAGCCGAAGUAUCGAGCGCCUGACCAGAGCUUCCUCCUGCUCAGGAGUGGGGGUUUCUCUGACUCCGGCCCUCAACUCUGCUGCAUGCUCUGAGCCUUGAAACCCAAAGGAUAAACAGCACCCAGGUGUCCCAGCUGAGCCCUGUGAGCACGGUGAAUGGAGUGUGCCCCUCCUGCAAGGUCAGCAAAGCAGGUCUCCCCUCUGCUGGGCUGCGUUACCUUCCUGGCUCCUUAUCAGCCCGGGAAUCAGAGAGGGACUUUCCAGAGCUGCGCACAUGUGAGCUGCAGAGAUGGAAUGAACCCAUAUGCAAAUCAGUUUUGAUUCCCUUCCCUUUAUAAAGUUAAAAUGUUUUUGAGAGAGAAUCAGAUCCUGCAGAGCAUGGGAGUCCGAGGAGGUUACCUUGGGCUGGCAGUGCCUCUGUCCCUGCUCUCUGUCCGUCUGUCUGCCUUUCCAUUGGAGACAACAAAGUGUAAAAUAGAAAACGAGAAAUGCAAACAUGUGCUGAUUGAAGAGGAGGAAGAAAAAUGGAAGAGAAAAAGCUGAAGAGUGGGAAAAAGAUAAAAUAAAAUGAAUUUUGGGAAUUCCACUCUCCUGGAAGAAGGCCAGGCACUGGAGAGAGCCAGCAGGAGAAUGAGCUACUGGGACAGCCUGAAAAUGAAUGUCAUUUAUUCUCAGCUUUGAGAACUGAAUUCCAUGGGUUGUAAUUGAAUCUGCUGUCAGACCCAUGGGGCUCAGUUCUUCAGCUUGGAUAUUUCUGUCUUCACAUACACAGGAGAUCAAAGAAGCACUUGAUCAUUCUCUGCCUCUUCUGGUGAUAGCAGCAAGCAGGAGAGGAAGCACGAGGGAUGUGAAUCAUUUCAGCAGGGAGGGGUCACUGCAAAGGCCUGGCUCUCUCAGGAUAAAUAGCUGUGCAGUGAUUGAAUCUCUUCUGAACUCAUGGGCUCUGUGGUGCUACCCACUGUUUGAUUAGCUUCAUUCUUUCCCCUCACUGUUAUCAAGGUUACAGCUGAGUCCCUGACAUGGUGUUGAUGAUGGAUGAUGAUGAUGAUGGGUGAUGGUCCCCAGGCCCUGCUGAGAGGUGCAUUCUCCUGUGGCCAGCUCUGGUGAGCUCCUUUAGGCUGUGGAACACCUGGACCUCCCUUGGGCUGAGCACUAAAUUUGCCAACUGAUAAUCCAAUAUACCCUGCUCUCUUGGUACCACUGCUGUGCACUUAUUGCCUCAUUUGCUUUGUCUGUGCCAAAUACCAUUUUUGACAGAAGCUGUGACCAUAAAGAUUAUUCAUUUGCACCAGCCAACCAGCUCACUUAUAGAAACACAGAUUUCCUUUCCUGGGGUUGGUGAUGUGCUCCCAAAGUGUUUGGUUUAGGGAGUUUCCAGUGUAAUUAGUGAUGGCAAUGUAAGUGCUGUUUGAAGGCUUGGUAGCACAAACAUCCCUCUGUGGGGGAAUUAAUUCAAGUCACAGGUUAAUGUUUUUUCUUGGAGGACUUAUGUUAAAAUUUUUCAUUUUUCAUUCCAGGGAUCAGGAAAAGUAAUUGUCAUCUUUAAGCAUGUGAAGAGUUACAAUUAGCAAUGAGCUUUCCACCUCUUUCCUGCAAUAAUAACACCUAAAUUACAUUUUUCCAACUCAGUAAAGUGGAUCAUAACUGAUCUUAUCCCUGUGUUACAAAGCUCUUAAAAGCAUAGAAAUGCUAAAACCCCACAGGUGCAGGAAAAGCAUGUUCAGCUAAGUAGCUUAAAACUGCUGUGUGCCUUUCAUUCUGAAUAUGUAUUUGCACACAAAAAAAAUCAGAUAUUAAUCACUGUUGCCUGUGGAUACAGAUGUACCUUCAUACUGAUGUACUUUUCAUAUAAAUUUUUGUCCUAGGGGUUGAAGAGUUUCAAUUGCAGCUGUGUGAGAUGUAUUGUGCUCACCAGUUUAGAGAUUACAAUUCCUGAAAGAGCGCCCUGGUUCCACAGCUCCUGCUGUGGGAAUAUCCAUUAAACAGGAUAGAGAAACCGAGCAAAGGAUGAUAUUGAAAUUUUUACUUUUUAUUUUCCUCUAUCAUCCCUGUCAGAAAGAGGAAAUGAAAUUUGAGGUCAGAGUUGGCAAAAUCUUCAAAAGAAGAGAGAUCAGUGGAACAACUGACAGCAUGCCUGAUGCAGGCAGUGUGGUGGAUGUUGGAUGCUGCAAAGCUUCGUCCUCUUCCUUCACUGUGCAGCCCAGCCUCGGGGCAGUGAUGCAGCACAGAAGUAACAAGGCCAUGGAUGAAACCAAGGAAUACAGAACUCUUGGGAGUCCCAUCUAUGUGAAAAACAAAAAUGUGGGCUCAUCCUCCAAGAUUCUCUUCUCCUUGCUUCAAGAUGAUGCUUGAAUCUGGUGGAAAAAAAAUCAAACCUCCUGUGCUGGAGGGCCUGAUGAACUGCUUGAAAAGCAAAAUGGGAGCAAACAGCAAAGCAGCACAGGGAGAGGAGCAGCGCAGAGAGAGGAGCUGCAGCAGCCCCUGGUCUGUAGGUGCUGCUGUGUUCCCUUUGCAGGAAAAUGCUGAGUUACGUUGGGUUCAGCAGUCCUGAUGUCUGCACAGCUGAGAGAAAUCACUUUGCUGUGAGUGUGAGUGUGGCUCUGCAGCUUUGACAAGCCUCACCUGCCCUGGGGAGGAAGGAGCAGCAGGGCUGGAGAGCUGUGGAGUCACAAUGUGCUGACUAAGGUCAGGAGCUUGAAGGCACUCACAAUCUGGUUUCCUGACAGCCCAGCCAUACAGCAGGCUGUGCUUUUUAAAUCUUCUGCUUCUUUCCUUGAAAAAAACCUCUACAUCAGAAAAGUUAAUGCCUAAAAAUAUACAGGAAGGCGUGACCCUCUGACAGGAUACCUGCACAGCACAGACUUCUCUGUUCAUUGGCAUCCCUCCCUCACUCUGCUGGGCUAGCCUCUUUUCACCCUGGCAAAGAGAAAUUUUUAUAGCUUACAUUAUAAAAGAUAUUUACUAGGUUGUUUUUCUGGUAGCCAUUAUUUUUUCUCACUUUCUGAUCACUUACUGCCAGUGUGGAGAGGGAUGUUGGGCAAAGCCAGCUGAACAGUCUUGUGCCAGGAUCUCACUGGGUGACUGAGAUGUGUCUGCCUACCAUGAAGUAUCUAACUUCUAAAAUUAAAAUGAGGGACUCUUCCAUCUUUUCUUAAAAAUUUGUGUUCUGUGCUAAAGAUAGUACUUAAACUGCCUCAGUACCUAUGAAUAAUGAAAUCAUGGAAUGGUGUGGUUUGGAAGGAAUCUGAAAAAUCAUCCAUUUCCAACCACCUGCCAUGGGCAGGGCCACCUUCCACUGGACCAGGAUGCUCCAAGCCCCAUUCCACCUGGCCUUGAAAACUUCCUUGAGCACUUGGAAUUAGUAAAAAUAUGUAAUUUGUUAGGAGAAUCUGCUAUGAUAGCUUUUUAACUUUCCUUUUUUAAACUUUCAUUUAAAGUUUUAUUCUAACUUUGUUCCCCUUUGUUUUUCUUUGUCUUUUACCCCAGAAUAAUUUUGGAGCAAACAAACAGUCAUUGGGAAAGGAGGCUGUUUCAUUUUAAGAUGCUAUGGAGGUACCUCUCAGAAACAGGUGGUAGAUAAAUGAAGCAAUGUGCAUAAAACCAGUAAUCACUGAGAUGGUUUCUUCAGAAUCAUAAUAGUGUUAUUAAUAACAAUCAUUAAUUUGUUGUUUAGAAAAUCACCCAGACCCAGCCAAGCAUUUCCCCCUUCCACAGACAGCAAUUCAAUUACUGUUUUGGUGGAGUUAAAUCUCUUGAUAUUCUGCUGAGAAAUUUUAUUCUUUAUUUAUUUUUGUUUUAUGGACACAGAGACAUACUUGCCUGAGGGCAAAAAAAGACUUUAUUUGAAGUUUUUUGUAGGACUUUUGCCACAGUUAACACUACAGGUUGAACGGAGGCUCUUGAUCUUGUCCAUAGAUUAGGCCACCCCAAACAGGUGCCCACAGUGCAGAAAUGUUUGUUUCCUGCUCACACUAUUGCACAGAAUGCUGCUCUGUUCAAGCCAGGGAGAGCUCCUACAGAAGAAGAAACAGCCUCCUGAUGCCCAGCAAGCUCUCAGCACCAUUGGAUUGGGGACCACCUCAAUCAGCCUCUCCUCAAAAACCUCCUGCCAGUGUUUUACAGCUUCCCUUGUUUUUCACAUUUCCUCCUUUCUGUGUUUCCCUGUACAGCUCAGGCAAGGAAGGGCUUUUCCUGGGAACACAAGUCUGUGGCUCUUGGGGCAUUUUUAACCCCACUGCUGCCAGACAAGCAGUUCACUCAGAAAGCCCUUCAGAGCAAGCAGAGGCUGCAGCACAUCCCUUGUGCCAGGGGACUUGUACCAGGCUGGGGCUCAGCAGGGGAAAUUUUUGUGUUUUCCAGCAUGAAAACAAAGCUCUUCUCUUGACUGAGAUCUCUGGCACUGCUGACAGCAUUUCCCGGGGUCCUGUCAACAACAGAGUGGUAUUUUCUCUAAAAGCCAGGACCCAUAGUAAAAGUUUCUAAGCUGUGUUUAUGAAAAUCUUGGUCAUUUGAUUAGGAGCUUGAAUUUGAUCAGAAUCCUUCCAGCUUCCCCACUUCAUCUUCCUUUCCAUAGGAUACUGCAGCUGCUCUGACGAAAACCAGUUAUUUAAAAAUUUGCUUGUAGCUAUGGCAACCUCCAUGCACUGUAUUUCAAUGGAAAACCUAAAACAGCAUCAGAAGUUUCUUAAUAGGAUAUUUAUGAAGAUUUUAGUCUUUGUACAUUUUAAAAUUGAAAUACACUAUUUUUAAAAGGGAGGGGUUAUCAAAAUCUCAUUAAUUUUGGAAAAUGCAU